rfam:Postia placenta Mad-698-R POSPLscaffold_1_Cont19, whole genome shotgun sequence.
CCUUCGAUAGCUCAGUUGGAAGAGCGCGAGACUGUAAUCGGAUAUGUCAUCUUGAGGUCGCUGGUUCGAUCCCGGCUCGAAGGA